rnacentral:lncRNA from 1 species
CUCUAAUCAAAUGUUAUCCUUUUCAGAUAAAACACAACCCAAUCCAACAUCCCCACCCAUCAAUCCUAUAUAAAUAUCCCAUCAAAUCUUCAUUUUUCAACAUCCACUGCAGCCUUAAAAAUCCUUAGCUAGGUUUUCUACUUAUAAGCAGAGGAAAUUACUUAUUUUUGUUCAUCAAUGGAGAGAAUAAACGCAAUGGUGACACAAAUUCCAGUGGUGAUAUUCAGCAAGACUUCAUGCUGCAUGUGCCACACAGUCAAGACCCUCAUUCGUGAUUUAGGCGUUAAUCCUGUGGUGUACGAGCUCGACGAUA